rnacentral:rRNA from 1 species
CCUACGGGAGGCAGCAGUGAGGAAUAUUGGUCAAUGGACGAGAGUCUGAACCAGCCAAGUAGCGUGAAGGAUGACUGCCCUAUGGGUUGUAAACUUCUUUUAUAUGGGAAUAAAAUGUUCCACGUGUGGGAUUUUGUAUGUACCAUAUGAAUAAGGAUCGGCUAACUCCGGGCCAGCAGCCGCGGUAAUACGGAGGAUCCGAGCGUUAUCCGGAUUUAUUGGGUUUAAAGGGAGCGUAGGUGGAUUGUUAAGUCAGUUGUGAAAGUUUGCGGCUCAACCGUAAAAUUGCAGUUGAAACUGGCAGUCUUGAGUACAGUAGAGGUGGGCGGAAUUCGUGGUGUAGCGGUGAAAUGCUUAGAUAUCACGAAGAACUCCGAUUGCGAAGGCAGUUCACUGGACUGCAACUGACACUGAGACUCGAAAGUGUGGGUAUCAAACAGGAUUAGAUACCCUUGUAGUC